GGGGUUGUGGCUCAGCGGUAGAGCGCUUGCCUGGUGCGUGCAAGGCCCUGGGUUCGAUUCUCAGCACCA
rfam:Ictidomys tridecemlineatus contig090458, whole genome shotgun sequence.